rnacentral:rRNA from 1 species
UACAGAGGGGGCAAGCGUUGUUCGGAAUUACUGGGCGUAAAGCGUGUGUAGGCGGCCACGUAAGUCGGAUGUGAAAGCCCCAGGCUCAACCUGGGAAGUGCACUCGAUACUGCGUGGCUUGAGUAUCGGAGAGGUUGGUGGAAUUCUCGGUGUAGAGGUGAAAUUCGUAGAUAUCGAGAGGAACACCGGUGGCGAAGGCGGCCAACUGGACGAAUACUGACGCUCAUGCACGAAAGCGUGGGGAGCAAACAGG